UGCAAGUCGAACGCACCAGCAAUGGUGAGUGGCGAAAGGGUCAGUAACGCGAUCGAACGUACCCCGAGGUGGAGGAUAGCGUUGGGAAACUGACGGUAAUACUCCAUGUGAUCCACGGAUCAAAGGUUUACCGCCUUGGGAGCGGCGAUCGUCCUAUCAGGUUGUUGGCGGGGUAAUGGCCCACCAAGCCGAAGACGGGUAGCGGGUGUGAGAGCACGGCCCGCGACAUCGGAACUGAGACACUGUCCGGACUCCUACGGGAGGCUGCAGUAGCGAAUCUUCCGCAAUGGGCGCAAGCCUGACGGAGCAAUGCCGCGUGCGGGAUGAAGUGCCUUUGGUAUGUAAACCGCUGUCAGGGGACGGAACCAAUGAUUGUCCCCAGAGGAAGUGGCGACUAACUCCGUGCCAGCAGUCGCGGUAAUACAGAGGCCACGAGCGUUAGUCGGAAUCACUGGGCUUAAAGGGUGCGUAGGCGGAUCGGCAAGCGUCUUGUGAAAGCCCCCGGCUCAACCGGGGAACUGCAGGGCGAACUGCCGAUCUUGAGGCAGGUAGGGGGUGGGAAGAACAGUCGGUGGAGCGGUGAAAUGCGUAGAUAUCGACUGGAAUGCCGAUGGUGAAGAC
rnacentral:rRNA from 1 species